CAUAUAUACACAAUGGAAUAUACAUAUAUGUGUAUACUUAGUGCAUACUUUGGUGUGUGUAUAUAUAUAUAUAUAUAUAUAUAUAUUCUUAAGCCAGUUGUCUGUUGAUGAGCACUCGAGUUGCCUUCAUGUCUUGAUUAUUGUAAAUAAUGCUGCUAUGGAUAUUGGGGGACAUGUAUCUUUAUAAAUUAGUGUUUUUGUUCUCUUUGGCUAUAUACCCAGGAGUGGGAUUGCUGGGGUAGUUCUUAUUUCUAGCUUUUUGAGGAACCUCCAUACUAUUUUACACAGUGGUUUCACCAAUUUACAUUUCUACCAACACUGUACAAAGGUUGCCUUUUCUCCAUAUCCUCUCUAGCAUUUACUAUUUAUAGAGUUUUUGAUGAUGGUCAUUCUGACUGGAGUGAGGUGAUACCUCAUUAUGGUUUUGAUUUACAAUUCUCUAAUAAUUAGUGAUGUUGAGCAUCUUUUCAUGUACCUGUUAGCCAUCUUUAUGUCUUCUUUGGAAAAAUGUCUAUUCAGGUCUUCUGCCCAUUUUUUGAUCGGGUUGUUUGUUUUCUUGAUUUUGAGUUGCAUGAGCUGAUUAUAUUUUUUGGAUAUUAAUCUCCUGAUGGUCGCAUCAUUUGCAAAUAUUUUCUCACAUUCCAUAGGUUGUCUUUUUGUUUUGUUGAUGGUUGUUUUUGCUGUGCAAAUACUUUUAAGUUUCAUUAGGAUCUAUUUGGUUAAUUUUGCUUUUAUUUCUUAUGGUCAGUUAAUCUACAAUAAGGAGGCAAGAACAUACAAUGGAAAAAGGAAAAAACAGCCCUUCAACAAAUGGUGCUAGGAAAGCUGAACAGCUACAUGUAAACCAAUGAAAUUAGAACAUUUCCUCACACCAUAUACAAAAGUAAACGCCAAAUGGUUUAAUGACCUAAAUGUGAGACGUGACAACAUUAAGUUGCUAGAAGAGAACAUAGGCAAAACACUCUUUUACAUAAAUUGUAGCACUAUUUUCUUAGAUCAGUCCCCAGAGGAAAAAGAAAUAAAAGCAAAGCUACUUUAAAUGAUCUGUGUUUCAAAUGUAUGUCUCCUCUCUCGCUUCUUAACUAAGAAGAUGAGGAAGGCUCCCUCAGUCCCUAAGCAAACACUGUAACUCCCGAGCAGUUCUCUUUCCUGCAUGAGAACUCCAGUGUCUUACAUGUUUCGUCCUUCCUCUCCACUCUUCUUUGCACUGACACUCACAGCUAGUCCUUGUGACUGUUAAUCAGCCGUCUGGGGCUAUUUUAAAAUAUUUCUGCUUUCGUGUGUAAGUCACACUCUUCUCGCAUCCAUUGCUGCCUUUUCCAAAGGGGUUAUGUCAAAGGAAAUUCAAUACCCACUUUUCUCAUUGUUUGCUCACUCAUCAAAAGACCAGUGCUAUUUGAUACUUCAGAAGAUUAUUUUCCCUGUUAGGUGAUGUGUCAAGGGAAAGGAAGCUGGCCCUGGCGUCAGGUGACUGAGUUUUUUUCCCAGUUCUGCACUUGACUCAAUGCAUGCCCUUGGGCAAGUCACUGAGCCUCUUCGUGCUGCGGUCUCUGGGGAUGAAAUCUGCCAACUGUAUCGUGUGAGUUUGAACCUUAGUGGCCUCUGGGAUAAAAAUAGGGAGCCAGGUGUCCACGUGGGCUCAAACUGAUGGGAGGAGAAUGACCAUGGGAGCUCAAAAAUGUCCUUGAACUGCAAACUCUAACAGAGUCAGGAUUCAUCGUUGCCCUUGGGCAUUUGUCCAGUGGCCCGUGGGGUCGAUUCUAGUACUUGAAUUUUUCCAGAAAAAAGAAGGAACUGCAAUAACCUCCCCGUUUGUAUAUUCUCUCUGCUCCGUGUCCCCACACCUCUGUACUUCCCCUGCCGUGAUACUCACCACUCAUUGUUGCUAUUUGCUUGAUCACUUGCCUCCUGGACUAGGAGCUACUUGAGGAAGGGGAUCCUGUCUGCCCCAUGCAACAUUGUACCCUCAGUAUCAAGCACAUGCCUGGCAAACAGAAGUCAUGCCAGUAAUAUUUGCUGAAUGGAUGAAUACAGCCACAGAGAAUAUCCCACUUCUGCUUCACUGAGGUGGCAUAUUCCUAGCCAAGGUGCGGUGGGAUCUGAUUAACCCCAUCUCUCCACAGCCCCACCUAGAUGUAACAGUGAAAGAUCUCAGACCAAGUGCUAUGACACAUAUGUAUUCAUUAGUAAGAAGAUCUGCUGCUGCUGCUAAGUCACUACAGUUGUAUCCGACUCUGUGCGACCCCAUAGACGGCAGCCCACCAGGCUCCCCCGUCCCUGGGACUCUCCAGGCAAGAACACUGGAGUGGGUUGCCAUUUCCUUCUCCAACGCAUGAAAGUGAAAAGUGAAAGUGAAGCUGCUCAGUUGUGUCCUACUCUUAGCGACCCCAUGGACUGCAGCCUACCAGGCUCCUCCGUCCAUGGGAUUUUCCAGGCAAGAGUACUGGAGUGGGGUGCCAUUGCCUUCUCCCAGUAAGACGAUCUAAAAAUGUUCAAACAGCUGGUUCUGUAAGCAGAGAAGUCACAGCUGCCUGACCUUUUAGGUGCUCUGUCCGCACUUUACAUGAAAAGUUCUCUUAAGAGUGACAGGACAAUAUUCUAAAGACCGGCUUUUAGUUAGCAUCAGGCAAGCAGAACUUUCUGAAAUUGUGGAUAAGCACAGGACAAGUUCCAAAGCAUGCCUCUGAUACCAUUCUGAAAGGUGAGUGGUAAAGGUCUGGCUAGAAUCUUAUUCUCAUCUAUGUAGUAGAGAGUAUAUCCCUGAUGUUUUAGCCAAAGCUCAUGUCUUGAACACCAGUGAGAUUCAACAGUAAAAGCCCAUUUAUAAUAUCCUUUAUGUUAAUUAACAGAUCACUAUUUUUGCCAACAGAAGCCAUUGCUCCUAUUUAUUUUGCUAAUUAGCCAAGCUUUGCUGUUGAUUCCAGAUAAAGAUAGUUAAAACUCUUAGGGCAACCACCUGAGUAUGUUUUAUGGUGAUCUAAUGAAUGCAGCAGAAGAAGCUGAGACUUUUAAAGAGCAAUUGAAAAGGCCCCUGAGACCCUGCUCUUUGGAAAUGAAGAGAAGAGUAGCAGGGCCCCCUCUCCUCCUCACUAGUCUUAGUGUGCCUGCCAACACUCAGGGCAAUUUGGUCUACUUGCUGGCUUCCCUGGGUGGACCUCGGUCUGGAGGUUGUAACUGGGAGUAAUUUACCUUCUGAUUUCCUUCACGAUCUCCUUAGAUGAGUAGGCAAUUUUGAGCCCAGGGGGUGAUAUCAGAUGGGCCCUCAGAAUCUUUUGGUUCUUCUGAUCAUGGAAGGUUCUUCACAUUUCUCCCUUUUUUUUUCCUGAUACUUAGAACAAAGGUCAGCUGAAAAGUCAUCUGUCAUGGCUACCCCAAUUCUGUACAAACUCCUGUCUGCUCCCACCUUCUCUAGCCCCUAAGCUGUGGACAUGGAUGCCCUGCUGACCCCUCCACACCGGCCGGGAGCCCAAGCUAUGUCACAGGUGGAGGUCCCAAUUUAUUUGUGUUACUACUGACUCUUUGUGUUAUGGCAGCUGAUAUCCUGGAGAAGGCAAUGGCACCCCACUCCAGUACUCUUGCCUGGAAAAUCCCAUGGACGGAGGAGCCUGGUGGGCUGCAGCAACUUAGCAGCAGCAGCUAUCCUCAGAGUUGUAUCCAUGUGCUCCUCUGCAGGUACACAUGUGUGCCUCAUGCAUGUUCCAGAAGAGUGAGCCUCUAUUAUGGGUGUCUGCUUAGCACUCCAGUUCCUCACUGGGUUUAGUGGUUUUCUCUGAACUUCGACGACAUGGAGAUCCUGUCCUACUUUUGGUGAUCCUCCCUGAAGGACUAGAACCUAUCCUGGUUAUGAUAAAACCUCUCGCUGAUUCUCAGCUGACUCAUCACCCAGAACCAUACCAUCCUGCCUGACUGGCUACCAUGAACCCCUCUGGAUACAAUACACAGGCUGAAGCGGCUAACUCCUCUGCUUAUUGCCCUUCUGGCUGUCCCUGGGGGUGGAGCCCUGCUGACAUAGAGGUUCCCCCACCCCCAAUCCUACCUAAUUUGGGGUCCUUUUUCCCACACCUGUGUUGCCAAGUUUGCCUAGUGAAUUUGGCUCAUAGUGUUAUCACAGGAUAGAGUUAGUUUCAUAUGUCUCUCUCUCUGGGGUAAACAAAUCAUUCGCAUUUAUGUGUCAUUCCCACUAACCCUGCAAGGGGAAACCCAAAGAAGAAUCUUUAAGUUGUGAAGCUUUGUCCUGUAUGACCCCACCUCUGCAGCUGGUCAGUUUAGGGUGGACACUCAACCAACACGCAGCCAAUCAACAGUCUGGUCAGCAACUCAUUACAUAACCUGGCAGACACACGAAUGUGUAUAAAAGCUGGGUUAAUCCCUGUUUCUUUCUUGGAAAUUUAAACAGGGAAAUGUCAAUAGAAGAAGAUUGGUAGGAUGCUUAGAAACAAGAAAGUAAGAAUUGAGGCCACAAUGAGUCAUAAUGAGCCCAAAGUACAAAAUAUUGAAGCUAUGAGCAAGCAGAAGUAAUGGAGGAGAGAAGAGUUUCAAGCCCAGCAGAGACUGAGCUGCAUGCGGGCAUGACCCUCCAACUCCUGCCAUGGAGCCCAUGGUCUCCUGAAACUAGAGCAGCUUCCCAGGGCUAGCGCCAGGAUGCCCCCUCUGGUGCCACUCCCUGGCUGUUGGUGAAAGACCAACCCCAUUAAUGCUCCACAUUUAGUUUUACCAAAAAAAAAAAACCCCACACACAAAUUUUUUUUUCCUCCUGAGCUAGCGUGCCUUAAUCUGCUCCUUAUGACUCCCCUCCUGUGUACUUUACCAUAUUCUUUCUGUGUGGAAAGAUGGGGGCCGGUAGCUUUUUACUCCUAAUGCUAUGUAUAGUAAAUAAUCGGUUCUCAGGAAAUGAAGACUGAAUAAGAGAAUUUUUGAAAGCCCAACGAACAAACAGGUUCCUGCAAUUACUGUCUUAGGUUGCAAUAUCUUCAGUUUGGCUCUCUCAAAGUUGAACAAAUGAUGCCACGUUUCCUAGCACCCACCCACCUCUUCCCCAAGCCAUGAGGUUAGAGACACACUGCUAAUUUUUUAAAAUAUCAAUCCUUAAUCAGAUUUUAAAAUCUCCCUCAAGAAGGUUAAUUCUCCCAUCCUAUUCUCAGUCUAGUUUGUUGAACUAACCAACACACACAGACAUGGAAAUAGACACAAAUAAACAAACACACACGUGCAGAGGAAUUAAAUUGCUGGGAUUUUGGAUGGUACUCCAUAUUUUUAGUACCCAAGCUUGUGGUUCCAACUGAUUCACCUAAAAAUUAACCAGAACUGGUUUGAGAUCAUCUUCCUAUUUGGAAGUUAUUUAUCAAUUCACUCUGUGGUAAUUUUGAAGAACAGUUAACUUAUUAUAAGAAAGCAGGAAACUUUUUUCCCCAAAGAAAUAAAAAUUAGUUAGCUUAUAAGGAGAACCUAUAACUAGAGCUAUGGAAAAUGAUUUACUGUAGGAGGAAUAUGUAUUGAUCCCCAAUACAGCGAUGAAAGCCGUGGUCCCCUCUGGCGUCUAUCAGUCUAUUGGUGGGGACUUUACUGUCUGCUUUGCCCCACUAUUCGGAGACCAGUGAUAGCUUUCACUGGUUGGCAGGAAUCGGGAGAGGGAAGUCAUGCCUGACAAGGCUCAACGAAUGUUUACUGUAAAGUGCCAGAUAUUUUAGGUUCUGCGAGUCUUAUGGUCUCCAUCACAGCUCCUUCCAUCUGCCCUUGGAGCACGAAAGCAGCCACAGACAAUAUGUAAAUGAAUGGGUACUGCUGUGUUCCAAUAAAACUUUAUUUAUGGUCACUAGAUUUGAAUUUUAUGUAAUUUUCAUAUGUCACAAAAUCUUCUUCUUUUGAUAUAUUUUCAGCCAUUUAGAAAUGUAAGAGCCAUCCUUACCUUGCGGGCUGUACCAAAACAGGAUGCAGGUUUGAGGUCCCUUCUUCCCGCCCUUCAUGAGUACUUGGGUUCAAGGUAUGAAAUAGAUGCCUCAAAUAAAUGUGGGGGGGCCUCAGGAUAGAUAAGUCUUGGGCUCUCCCUCCAUCCACCAAUGUGAGUCCUGGGGAGGCUGUGAGCCUCCUACCGGAGCUUCAUGUCCCCCAUGGUUCAGAGAAGGCUGGACUGAGAAGAGAGACCCGCCCAGACCCCCAGCCAGAGGCGAUGGCAGGACAGGGGACUCCAGCAAGGAUUGCAGAGGCACGGCUGAUGCCCAGAGGCCCUGUGGGUGAGGGUGUCCUCAGAGGGGAAGCGGCCUUCCUCCACUGCUCCGGGGCCCUGGAGCUGAUGAGGGCCAUGGGGGG
ensembl:lncRNA